rnacentral:lncRNA from 1 species
AAAUGAUCUUUCUUACGCUGACCUGUGCCCCUAUCUUUUGAAGGUACUCUUUGAGUCUGACCACUGCCAGGCAUUAGUUACACCAAUUGUCUCAACCUUUUUCAACGGAAUAAUCUUUUCACUACAAGGAAUUCACAAUAUGCCUUUCAGCAACAUGGAUGGAGACAGAUAAAGGAACUAACAGGAACAGAAAACCAAAUGCUGCAUAUUCUCACUUCUAAGUGG